GAUGAAGAACGUAGCGAAACGCGAUAAGUAAUGUGAAUUGCAGAAUUCAGUGAAUCAUCGAAUCUUUGAACGCACAUUGCGCCCCCUGGUAUUCCGGGGGGCAUGCCUGUUCGAGCGUCAUUUCACCACUCAAGCCUCGCUUGGUAUUGGGCAACGCGGUCCGCCGCGUGCCUCAAAUCGACCGGCUGGGUCUUCUGUCCCCUAAGCGUUGUGGAAACUAUUCGCUAAAGGGUGUUCGGGAGGCUACGCCGUAAAACAACCCCAUUUCUAAGGUUGACCUCGGAUCAGGUAGGGAUACCCGCUGAACUUAAGCAUAUCAAUAAGCGGAGGA
rnacentral:misc_RNA from 1 species